rnacentral:rRNA from 1 species
UACGUAGGGUGCGAGCGUUGUCCGGAAUUAUUGGGCGUAAAGAGCUUGUAGGCGGUUUGUCGCGUCUGCUGUGAAAAUCCGGGGCUCAACCCCGGACUUGCAGUGGGUACGGGCAGACUAGAGUGUGGUAGGGGAGACUGGAAUUCCUGGUGUAGCGGUGAAAUGCUUAGAGAUCACACAGAAUAUCGAUUGCGAAGGCAGCUCACAAAGCCAAGAUUGACGCUGAGGCACGAAAGUGUGGGGAUCAAACAGGAUUAGA